UGGAGGAUUAGCUCAGCUGGGAGAGCAUCUGCCUUACAAGCAGGAGGUCACAGGUUCGAGCCCUGUAUCCUCCAUUGA
rnacentral:tRNA from 1 species